GACGAACCGUGCAAACGUUAUUCGGAAUCACUGGGCUUAAAGCGCGUGUAGGCGGGACGGUUAGGCGGACGUGAAAGGCUGGGGCUCAACCCCAGAUCGCCGUUCGAAACUGCCGUUCUUGAGGGUCGAAGAGGAGAGUGGAAUUCCUGGUGUAGCGGUGAAAUGCGUAGAGAUCAGGAGGAACACCCAUGGCGAAGGCAGCUCUCUGGUCGACAUCUGACGCUGAGACGCGAAAGCGUGGGGAGCGAACGGG
rnacentral:rRNA from 1 species